GACGAACCGUGCGAACGUUGUUCGGAUUCACUGGGCUUAAAGGGCGCGUAGGCGGCUUGCCAAGUCAGGGGUGAAAUCGUUCGGCUCAACCGGACAAGUGCUUCUGAUACUGGCGGGCUGGAGGGAGGUAGGGGCAGACGGAACUUCCGGUGGAGCGGUGAAAUGCGUAGAUAUCGGGAGGAACACCUGUGGCGAAAGCGGCUCACUGGACCACAACUGACGCUGAGGCGCGAAAGCUAGGGGAGCAAACAGG
rnacentral:rRNA from 1 species